CAUUAGUCCAGGGGAGCUGGGCCCCUGCUUAGCUAUCCUCAGCAUCUAGGCCAAGGACAGCGACGAUGAUGACGACGUCACUGUCACCGUGGACCGAGACCGCUUCAUGGAUGAGUUCUUCGAGCAGGUAGAGGAGAUCCGAAGCUUCAUUGACAAGAUCUCGGAGAACGUGGAGGAGGUGAAGCGCAAACACAGCGCCAUCCUGGCCUCCCCCAACCCUGACGAGAAGACAAAGGAGGAGCUGGAGGAACUCAUGUCCGACAUAAAGAAGACAGCAAACAAAGUCCGUUCCAAGUUAAAGAGCAUCGAGCAGAGCAUCGAGCAGGAGGAAGGCCUGAACCGCUCCUCCGCAGACCUGAGGAUCCGAAAGACACAGCACUCCACACUGUCCCGGAAGUUCGUGGAGGUGAUGUCCGAGUACAACGCCACGCAGUCUGACUACCGCGAGCGCUGCAAGGGCCGCAUCCAGAGGCAGCUGGAGAUCACCGGCCGGACCACGACCAGCGAGGAGCUGGAGGACAUGCUGGAGAGUGGGAACCCCGCCAUCUUUGCCUCCGGGAUCAUCAUGGACUCCAGCAUCUCGAAGCAGGCCCUGAGUGAGAUUGAGACCCGCCACAGCGAGAUCAUCAAGCUGGAGAACAGCAUCCGGGAGCUGCACGACAUGUUCAUGGACAUGGCCAUGCUCGUGGAGAGCCAGGCGCUGCUUUCCCAAAAUCUUGCCUCGGGCCCCCUCACCACCCAGAGGGGGGCCCUCUGGAGCUGGGGUGCCCCUGGCCCUGCAGGGGGAGAUGAUUGACAGGAUUGAGUACAACGUGGAACAUUCGGUGGACUACGUGGAGAGGGCAGUGUCUGACACCAAGAAGGCCGUCAAGUACCAGAGCAAGGCGCGCCGGAAGAAGAUCAUGAUCGUCAUCUGCUGUGUGGUCCUGGGCAUUGUGAUCGCCUCUACCUUUGGGGGCAUCUUCGGAUAGAACCCACCCCGCCUGUCACUCCGCUCUGGAUGGUCCACCCCCAGGAGACCCCUGGCUGCUGUCCCGCCUCUGGCUCGGAGCUCCCCCCGCCACCCCAGACUGCUCCUUUCUCUGCCACAGGGCCCCCAACUCCCACCCCGCCCUGAGCCGUCGUGUGCAUGAUCUUUGUGACAGUGUGCGUCUGUACCGAAGAGGCAGAGGGGAGCCAGGCUGGGAGGGAGCCAGCCGGGUGGGGACGGGCCAACAAGGGACAGACUCAGGCCCAGGCCCCUCCCCUUCGAGGAGGGCUGCCCCGGGGUAGUUAGCCAUGCUUCUGUCCCCCAACCUUCAGUAAUUCCACUCCUUCCUGGGGUCUGCCCUCUCCUGGAUCAAGGCUCUCUGGACCCCAAACUUGCCUCCUCUGACCAGCCCUCCUGCCCCAUCCUGUGUCCUCUCCAGCUGUCCCCCUGAAUGGGCACCCCCCUCUGAGGCCUGGGGGCCAGCUGGCCACAUGGUGCUGCUUUUUGGUUUAGGGGAGGGGUGGCCCUAAGAGACAGCCCAGCUCUAAGCCUCUAACAGCCAAUCACUGCCAGGGGCCGUGGCCAGGUGGCUUCUGGCCGUGUCAAGACCCGGCUUCCUCCCCUGCCUGGGGGCAGAGUCCCAACGCGUCUUCGGCUGCCUCAGCCUCCCUCCUUCCCUAGUUCCUCCAGCCCCUGGAGCAACCCCUUAGGGCUAUACCUGACCCCAGGGAACAUUCUGGAAGAGGCUGACCAGGGGCCUGGUCUCCUGCCCUUGGAGCUAGGGCAGCAGGGCAGGCCCUAGUCAGGCCUCUGCACUGGUGAAGCCCAUGCCCGGGCCAUCAGCUCUCCCCGGGUUGGGUCCUCAAGCCAUUGUGUGUUGCAUGUGUGGGACAGUGGUCCCGGCUCUCCUGUGCUCGAGCAGUCAGUGUCACUUCAGGCCUGCAAUCUUGUCCCACCCUUGCUGCCCGCCCCCCAUCCCCACCACGUGGGUGUUGGAUGUCUCGGAUGCAGUAUUCAGCCAGGGAGGGGGCACCUCCCUCCUCCGCACCGGCUCGGGACUUCUCAAGUCUGAACCGUGCUCCCCACCCAGAAGCCCUCUUCCUUGUCGACAGGCAAGGAGUGUGCAUGCGUGCGCAUGCAGCGAGGGACGGGGCCAGGCCUGUGCCCCCACCCGCCCUCCGCUUCGCUCCUGCCCAGUGACUGACCACUGUCCGUGUUGCCUUCUUGAACAGCGACUCCCCGCCCCACCCCCACCCCUUCACCAAAGGUCUUGGUACAACCAGCUGCCCAUUUUGUGAAAUUUUUAUGUAGAAUAAACAUUUGUAUCUGUA